GAAAUGCGAUAAGUAAUGUGAAUUGCAGAAUUCAGUGAAUCAUCGAAUCUUUGAACGCACAUUGCGCCCGCCAGCAUUCUGGCGGGCAUCCCUGUUCGAGCGUCAUUUCAACCCUCGAGCCCCCCCGGGGGCCUCGGUGUUGGGGGACGGCACACCAGCCGCCCCCGAAAUGCAGUGGCGACCCCGCCGCAGCCUCCCCUGCGUAGUAGCACACACCUCGCACCGGAGCGCGGAGGCGGUCACGCCGUAAAACGCCCAACUUUCUUAGAGUUGACCUCGGAUCAGGUAGGAAUACCCGCUGAACUUAAGC
rnacentral:misc_RNA from 1 species